UUGCCUUGUGCCCUUGACUUCUCCGUCGGGCCUCUGCCACUCUGCUCCUCCCUCCGCCUCUCCAGUUGCGCCUCUACGCCCUACCGCGCCGCGCCCUCACCAGGUCUUCGCGGGCGAAGAAGCGAUCGGAGGCGCCAUCAAUUUCUCGCCGUUAGUCUGACGCCGCCGCUAAUCCGCUCCCCACCGUUGAUAGCCCCAGCGUUGCUACAAUCGGAGGGCCUGAUUUUAAGUAAGGCGCUAAAGAACAUGAAAAAAAUUGAGGGCGAAGCUACCUAGAAGGAAAUUGUAAAGCUUAGGUCCGAAGCAUCAGAGGUUCGUUUCAACUGUGCAGAGAAAGAAAAGGCAUCUAAAAUUUUGGAAUAGGAUUUCAUUUAGAGUCGAAGCGAGGUUCAGACUUUGACC
rnacentral:misc_RNA from 1 species